CCUACGGGUGGCAGCAGUGAGGAAUAUUGGUCAAUGGCCGGAAGGCUGAACCAGCCAUGCCGCGUGAAGGUCAGUGCCCUAUGGGCGUUAAACUUCUUUUGUGCGGGAGCAAUAAUGGUCACGUGUGGCCCGACGAGAGUACCGUACGAAUAAGCAUCGGCUCACUCCGUGCCAGCAGCCGCGGUAAUACGGGGGAUGCAAGCGUUAUCCGGAUUUAUUGGGUUUAAAGGGUGCGUAGGCUGGGAGGUAAGUCAGCGGUGAAAUUCCCCCGCUCAACGGGGUGAAGUGCCAUUGAUACUGGCUUGCUGGAAUGCGGAUGCGGUGGGAGGAAUGUGUGGUGUAGCGGUGAAAUGCAUAGAUAUCACACAGAACACCGAUUGCGAAGGCAUCUCACGAAACCGCGAUUGACGCUGAUGCACGAAAGCGUGGGUAUCAAACAGGAUUAGAUACCCGGGUAGUC
rnacentral:rRNA from 1 species